ACAUCUUGAGCGGCCAUGGUUAUAGCCGCAGCCGCUCAGUCGGUCUCGGCGAUACGCCAACCGGCAUGACCGCGGAGCACAACAGCGUCAACAUGAAACUAUUUCAGUCGGUGGAUAGCCUCUACGAUCUGAUCUAUUCCGGCGUGCUCGAGCGCUUCCCGAAACUGAAAAUCGUCCUGGUCGAAAACGAGCUUGGCUGGAUUCCGUUUGUCCUGGAGCAGUGGGACUACUACUUCAAACGCCACGGCGCCGAUCGCAAAGACCUUGCGAUCAAAAAGCUGCCGAGCGAAUACUUCCACGGCCAGAUCUACACCACGUUCUUCAACGACGCCGUCGGCGGCCACACGCUGACCUGGUGGGGCCAGGACAACUGCAUGUGGUCCAAUGACUUUCCGCACGGCAACUCAACGUGGCCCAACUCGCGCGAGGUCAUCUCCCGCGAUUUAGGCAAUCUGCCGGCCGGCGUGCGCGCGAAACUGGUUCGGGAGAACGUCGCGAAGGUUUAUAACAUCCCGAUCCCUGCGCCGGUUCAGUAACUCCCAGAAGCACCGGCCCGUCACGCUCGUAAAUCAAAUUCGAGUGUUGACGGGCCGGUGCGCGGCGCUCGCCGUCUCCUAUUAUCCCACUGGUC
rnacentral:misc_RNA from 1 species